AUGAAGUUUGAAAGUUUUGAGGAGGCUGUUGCUCACUACAAGCUAUAUGCACUCAGAAAUGGAUUUGGGACAAGGAUAGCUUACACAAGAACACUGAAGGACAACACAGUGAGCAGAGCACUCCUGGUGAGUGGGAAAGGCGGCAAGCCAAAGAGGAAGAAGGAGGAGGUGCAGGAUGUACUGAACCCAGAAGGCAUCAUGAAGAAGAGAAAAAGGUGUAAGGUUAAGAGGUCUGAGUGUCCAACCCACCUUUACCUUACGCACAAGGAUGCGUGGUGGAGAGUCGAACGCUUUGAUGAUAAUCACAACCAUCCACUGAUAAGAAAGCCAUCUCUAACAAAAUUUCUAGCCUCAGACGUGGCGAAUCAGCGAGCCAAGUUUCGCAAGGAGUACCGUAAUGCAGACGUGGGGAGCACAAUUGCAUACUUUGAGGAGCUCAGGGCAAAGGAUCCAGAUUUCUAUUGGAGAAUGAAACUUGAUGAUGAAGACAGGGUGAAUGUGUUCUGGAUAGAUGGUGCAUCACAUAGGACAUACGCAAAAUACAACGACAUUGUGUCUUUCGACACAACGUACAUGACUAAUAUGUACAAGAUGCCAUGUGCCCCCUUCAUUGGCAUUAACAACCACGGGCAAUCAAUCCAAUUCGGUUGUGGUUUCAUUCGAAACGAACUGAUAGACAACUUUGUGUGGCUGCUUAACACAUUCUUGCAUGCGAUGGGUGGGGUUGCACCAAAGAACAUAAUCACAGAUCAGGACUUUGCCAUGAGGAAUGCUAUUGACGAGGUGUUCAUCAGGAUAGUACACAGAAAUUGCAGAUGGCACAUUAUGAAGAAAGCACAAGAGAAGCUUGGGAGGUUAAUGGCCGAUGAUGAACCACUGAAGAAAGCAUUCAAAGAUUGUGUUGACAACAGCUUGAAUGUUGAGGAGUUUGAGGAAAAAUGGUGAAAGAUGCUGGACGAUCAUGGGCAAACGGACAACGAGCAUUUCCACUGGCUGUGGGAAAACAUGGAAUGUUGGGUCCCGGUGUACUACAUGCACGACUUCUUCCCAUUCUUGCAGACAACGGCAAGGAGCGAAGGAUUCAACGCUGUGUUGAAGAAG
rnacentral:rRNA from 1 species